UGACACCUUCUCUUCCUUGACCUGGGCAUCUGACCCAGUUCCAGAUUGCUGAGAAAGCCUGUAUCCAUGCAUGCAGUUUCCAGUAUUUACUAUCAAGAUACAAAACACAGUAGCUGCAAAAAUAUCUGUGGAAUGAAUCAAGGAAGGAAGCAAGGAGGAAAGGAAGAAAGCAGAAAGAAAUGAAGAGAAAGUAAAAGGAGAAACAAAUGAAAAAAUAUGACGGAAAAUUGAGGAGAAUACAAUUCUAAUGAGAGAGAGAGAGAAGGCAGUAAAUCACCUUGAAACAACAACAACAAUAAAAAUGAAGAGAGUGCUCUAGGGGUAAAAUAUUUGGCUGUCUUGGGGCACCUGGCUGGUUCAGUUGCAAGAGCAUGCAACUCUUGAUCUCAGGGUUGUGAGUUCUGGCCCCACGUUUGGGGGCAGAGAUUACUUAAAAUAAAAAUGUUUG